CCAUCAUGGUAGUAUCUGAGCCUUCCAGCAGUACACCCAGCAACGUGACCAAGAUCUGUCAUGGGGCAUUUUUGUGAUGUGUAUUCUAAUCACGUCAAGGACAUCUACAGCACAGGGGCAGCAGUUUGACGUGACACAGGUGUUCAGAAGGUCAGAAUAACUUCCAGGGAGAUGGCUUGCUGGACAGAGGCAGCAAACUUGUUCCACAGAAGAUGAACUACGCUGUAACUGACUGGCAGUGAAAUGGUGAAACAACACUUCCCCCCUCACCCGUCCACCCACAAACAAACAGUUUUUAUGAAGUGGAUGGGGUUUUCCUGAUCAUUAUGUUUAGCUUUUGUUUAUUUUUAUGCAAGAUUGCAGCAUUUGGAAUACUAAGCGAAGAAAGAUGGGCACGUAGAAUUAAUACAUAAGGUUCUGCAAACACUUACACUAUGUGCUUAACUUUACAAAACCGAUGCAGCCUCAGCUCACAGAUACAUACUGUCCAAUGAUGUGUGCAUGUAUUGUAUAACAACAUUUAUUCGCUAAAGA